rnacentral:rRNA from 1 species
GAUGAACGCUGGCGGCGUGCCUAAUACAUGCAAGUCGAGCGAACAGACGAGGAGCUUGCUCCUCUGACGUUAGCGGCGGACGGGUGAGUAACACGUGGAUAACCUACCUAUAAGACUGGGAUAACUUCGGGAAACCGGAGCUAAUACCGGAUAAUAUAUUGAACCGCAUGGUUCAAUAGUGAAAGACGGUUUUGCUGUCACUUAUAGAUGGAUCCGCGCCGCAUUAGCUAGUUGGUAAGGUAACGGCUUACCAAGGCAACGAUGCGUAGCCGACCUGAGAGGGUGAUCGGCCACACUGGAACUGAGACACGGUCCAGACUCCUACGGGAGGCAGCAGUAGGGAAUCUUCCGCAAUGGGCGAAAGCCUGACGGAGCAACACCGCGUGAGUGAUGAAGGUCUUCGGAUCGUAAAACUCUGUUAUUAGGGAAGAACAAAUGUGUAAGUAACUAUGCACGUCUCGACGGUACCUAAUCAGAAAGCCACGGCUAACUACGUG